rnacentral:rRNA from 1 species
GACGAACGCUGGCGGCGUGCCUAAUACAUGCAAGUAGAACGCUGAAGAGAGGAGCUUGCUCUUCUUGGCUGAGUUGCGAACGGGUGAGUAACGCGUAGGUAACCUGCCUUGUAGCGGGGGAUAACUAUUGGAAACGAUAGCUAAUACCGCAUAACAAUGGAUGACACAUGUCAUUUAUUUGAAAGGGGCAAUUGCUCCACUACAAGAUGGACCUGCGUUGUAUUAGCUAGUAGGUGAGGUAAUGGCUCACCUAGGCGACGAUACAUAGCCGACCUGAGAGGGUGAUCGGCCACACUGGGACUGAGACACGGCCCAGACUCCUACGGGAGGCAGAAGUAGGGAAUCUUCGGCAAUGGGGGCAACCCUGACCGAGCAACGCCGCGUGAGUGAAGAAGGUUUUCGGAUCGUAAAGCUCUGUUGUAAGUCAAGAACGGGUGUGAGAGUGGAAAGUUCACACUGUGACGGUAGCUUACCAGAAAGGGACGGCUAACUACGUG